GACUGAACCGAACUGAACUGAAAGCAAAGCUUGAGGAGGGCAUGGCAACCACUCCAGUAUUCUUGCCUGGUGGAGAAUCCCAUGGACAAGGGGCCUGGCAGGCUACAGUCCAAAGGGUCACAAAGAGUCCCAGACAUGACUAAAGUGACUUAGCAUGCUUUCACACAAAACAAAGCUUAACAUAUGCAGCACUUCAAGAAAGUGAAAGAAGAAAAAUUAUAAACCAUUUACUCUAAUGAAGUGAUAUGCAAAUGGAAUCAGAUAUACCUUUGAUGGACUAAGACUCUCUGCCUUAGAGAUUUGUUGCACAGAUCAAAUCAGGUGAAGGAAGUGUGUUUUAACCAAGAACACCCAGGUCAGAAGUGGACAAACCAGUUUCGAUGCCAUCUUUUUGCCUCCAAGUCAAGAACCCUUUUGCU